GGACUGACCACACAGGGCAAGAGAAUAGUUGGAAACCCGAAAAAGCCAGGCUGAAAAAACCUGGACCGCCUUGGGCUGCUUUUGCCACUGAUGAAUACCAGUGGUUACAAAUAGAUUUGAAUAAGGAAAAGAAAAUAACAGGCAUUAUAACCACUGGAUCCACCAUGGUGGAGCACAAUUACUAUGUGUCUGCCUACAGAAUCCUGUACAGUGAUGAUGGGCAGAAAUGGACUGUGUACAGAGAGCCUGGUGUGGAGCAAGAUAAGAUAUUUCAAGGAAACAAAGAUUAUCACCAGGAUGUGCGUAAUAACUUUUUACCACCAAUUAUUGCACGUUUUAUUAGAGUGAAUCCUACCCAAUGGCAGCAGAAAAUUGCCAUGAAAAUGGAGCUGCUCGGAUGUCAGUUUAUUCCUAAAGG
rnacentral:sRNA from 1 species